GAUGAACGCUGGCGGCGUGCCUAAUACAUGCAAGUCGAGCGAACGGACGAGAAGCUUGCUUUUCUGAUGUUAGCGGCGGACAGGGGAGUAACACGUGGAUAACCUACCUAUAAGACUGGGAUAAAUUCGGGAAACCGGAGCUAAUACCGGAUAAUAUUUUGAACCGCAUGGUUCAAAAGUGAAAGACGGUCUUGCUGUCACUUAUAGAUGGAUCCGCGCUGCAUUAGCUAGUUGGUAAGGUAACGGCUUACCAAGGCAACGAUGCAUAGCCGACCUGAGAGGGUGAUCAGCCACACUGGAACUGAGACACGGUCCAGACUCCUACGGGAGGCAGCAGUAGGGAAUCUUCCGCAAUGGGCGAAAGCCUGACGGAGCAACGCCGCGUGAGUGAUGAAGGUCUUCGGAUCGUAAAACUCUGUUAUUAGGGAAGAACAUAUGUGUAAGUAACUGUGCACAUCUUGACGGUACCUAAUCAGAAAGCCACGGCUAACUACGUG
rnacentral:rRNA from 1 species